CCUACGGGAGGCAGCAGUGGGGAAUAUUGGACAAUGGGGGGAACCCUGAUCCAGCCAUGCCGCGUGUGUGAAGAAGGCCUUUUGGUUGUAAAGCACUUUAAGCGAGGAGGAGGCUACCGAGAUUAAUACUCUUGGAUAGUGGACGUUACUCGCAGAAUAAGCACCGGCUAACUCUGUGCCAGCAGCCGCGGUAAU
rnacentral:rRNA from 2 species